GACAAGGUUAUAAAGACAUGAAUAAACACAAUUUUUAAACAUGUUUGUUUUUCCUUCCGCAGUUGCCUAAUGACAGUGUUUACAUUGGGUUAGAUGGUUCUGAGCAUACAGUCUGUGUAAGGUAAUACCAACAAAACACUCCUGUGAGCAGACAGCUAGAGAACUGUAAAUGUUCAGCUUCUAAAAGGACAAAUUUAUUACUUUCACCUUUGGGAGGUAGAAGUGGAAUCCUUCCUGCAGUUGUGCCUCAACUCAUUGUAUCAGCUAAGAGUAUACAAUCAGGCUUUUCUCACUGCUUUGUGUGAGCACCCUCAGCUCUAACACUGGCCCUCCC
rnacentral:lncRNA from 14 species